CCCGCCUUCCUACUACCGGCCCAGGAUUAGCGCCCUGGGAGCGCGCGCCCCGCUGCCUCGCCGCCACACUUUCCUGGGAGCGGCGGCCACGGAGGCACCAUGAAGAAGUCUUACUCAGUUGGGAUGUAUACAAAAGUGGCGGUCAACAUGGAGUUGGUGGUGCUGCUACAAUUGUUUUGUUCAAGAUACACAGGAAUUCUGAUUUGCUUCUGGACCCGUGCAUUUCAAAUCUUGCUUCUCUCCACUGCGCACGUUUUUCCGGCGCCAGGCACCGCAGGAUAUGUUCGUGUCUUGUGAUUUUUGAUUCUGCGCGGUAGGUGGAAUUGGAACGGUGAGUGGAGCGAGUAUUGCUGGAAUCCGUUUCCACACCGGGAUAGCGAGCAGUAACUGAACUAUACAUGGAAAUAAAUGGGAACUACAUAAAUAUAACCCGACCAAAGCCAAACUAAAUAUCUUUCCAGUUCAACUUCUCCUUAGCAGGAGCCCCCACGUGGCAGCAAGCCUCCGUUUCCACCUCACACAAGAGAAAAUGUGACGGGCAGGAACUCAAGACUGGAAAUGAACGGGGACGUUAAUUGAUUGUAGGGAAAAUAUUUUCCAUUUUGUAAAUUUUACAAAAAAUGUUUGACCCUGUGGACAUGUGGUUAGGGCCCUUCUCAGUGCCUUGAGAGGGAACCAUGCAGGUAGAGGGAGGGUUCUUAGCAUUGUGGGGGUGACCUGGAGAUUGGCAGCAGGGUGCCACCACCACCCCUAGGUGGGGAUGAGAGGGAGGAAGUCCUGUGACCAGAGUCCAGGGGCCAGAGUCACCUGCUGGGAGCCCAAACAAAGGUGGGACUCUGGCAGGAGCUGGAACUACACAGAGGACCACCUCUCCUGCUGGAGAAGCUGUCUGAGGCAGAGGAGGUGGAGAGCUCCCGCGCCCUCCCUUGCUUCCACCUCCCAGGUUCCUCCCAAGCCUCUCGUUGGUUGAACCCAGCCCAAAGCCAGCAGGCCUGGGGACCUGGACACCUGAGCCAGCAGAGGUCGGCGUUUCUCCCACACAAAGGAGGGCACAAGAAGUGGGAGGCACGGAGGGGGAUCAGGCCAGGACCCACACAGGAUGUGCAAACAGGAGCUCCCCUCUCUUCCCACCCCAAAUGGCAUCUGCAGCCGGCCUCACUUCCCUGCUGUUAGACAGGAAGAGGAACCUUGUUCCCGGCACCAGCUGCCCCCACCGCCCCCCACCCCACGGAGGCCCCUUUCCUCUCUGGCCUUUGCUUGCAAUCAUUGGCGACGCUGAUGGACCAUAUCUUCUGGGGAGUUUGGUCAUGAACAUGGUUUCCCAUUUGUUGUGGACCAAACUGUGCCCUUCCCCUUGAAUUCCUGCGUUGAAGCCCUAACUCCCAAUGCAGCUGUAAUUGAAGAUAGGGCUUUUAGGGAGGUAAUUAAGGUUAAAUGAAGUCAUAGGGCAGGACCCUAAUCUAAUAGGAUUGAUGUCCUUAUAAGAAGAGGGAGAGACACCAGAGAUCUCUCCUCCCCCCUCACUUGUAAACAGAGGAAAAAUGACGGAGGACACAGCAGGGAGGUGGGUACAAGCCAGGAAGAGGGGCCUCGCCGGGAACUAACCCUGACGGCACCUUGAUCCGGGACUUUGGGCCUCUCAAACUGAGAAAUACAUGUCUGUUGUUUAAGUCACUCCCUCCACAGUAAUCUGGAUGGCAGCCUGAGCUUACCAAGGCACCGUCUGCAUCAGCCAGGGCUCUCCAGGGAGACAGCCAAUAGGAGAUGGAUGGAUGGAUGGAUGGCUAGAUAGACAGACAAGCGGACAGAGAGAGAGAGAGACAGGCAGACACAGACAGACAGGCAGACAAAUGGCUAGAUAGACAAGCAGACAGAGAGAUAGAGACAGACAGACACAAACAGGCAAACAGACAGGCAGACAAAUGGAUAGAUAGAUGAUAGAUAGCCAGGCAGGCAGAUAGACACAGACAGGCAGACAGACAGACAGACAGAUGAUAGGUUGGGUUCAGUGACUCUUACCUGUAAUAACCAGCACAUUGGUAGGCUGAGGCCGGUGGAUCACUUGAGGCCAGGAGUUUGAGACCAGCCUGGCUAACAGGGUGAAACCCCAUCUCUACUAAAAAUAGAAAAAUUAGCUGGGCGUGGUGGUGCAUGUCUGUAAUCCCAGCCACUCGGGAGGCUGAGGCACGAGAAUCACUUGAACCUGGGAGGUGGAGGUUGCAGUGAGCUGAGAUCACGCCACUGCACUCCAGCCUAGGCGACAAAGUGAGACUCCAUCUCAAAAAGAAAAAAAAGAUAGAUAGAUGAAUGGAUAGAUAGCUAGAUAGAUGACAGAUGGAUGAUAGGUAGAUAGAUAAUUGAUAAAUAGAUAUAAAUGACCGAUGGACAGGCAGACAUAGAUACAUUGAUUAGGUAGAUGAUAGAUGGAUAGAUAGAAGAUAGAUGGUGGAUGGGUGGGUAGAUAGGCAGAUAGACAGUUAGAAAGAUAGAUGAUAGAUAGAUAGGAAGGAAUUUAUUAGGGGAAUUGGCUCAUACCAUUGUGGAGGCCAAGAUGUACCACAGAAGGCCGUCCGCAAGCUGGAGGCCCAGGAAAGCCAGUAUCGUGGCUCAGUCCAAGUCUGCAGGCCUCAGGACUGGGAAGCUGUUGAUGUAACUCUUAGUUUAAGGCCAAAGGUUUGAGAGCCUGGGGAACUGCUGGAGAACUGGGAGUUCUAAGUCCAAGGGCAGGAGAGGAAGGCAUCCCACCUCCAGGAGAAAGAGGGAAUUCACCUUUUCUCUGCCUUUUUGUUGUCUGGCAAUGGAAUGGUGUCAUCCAUAUUGAGGGAGGAUCUUUACCACUCAGCCCACCAACUCACAUGCCCAUCUCCUCCAGAAACACCCUCACAGACACACCCAGAAGCGAUGCGUUACCAGCCAUCCCUUAAUCCAGCCAAACUGACACCUGCCGUCAGCCACCACACAGGCUCAGAAGAAUCGUGGUUGCAUGGUGAUGGUCUCCAUCCCGUCUAAAGAAGUUGAAGAUGAACUGUUGGCACAAGCCAUCGUUCUUUCAGGCUCCUUCCAGUCGUUCAUUCUUUUAAAAAUGUAUUCAUUGAGCACCUGCUGCAUGCCAGGUGCUGUGACAAGCACUGGGGCACAGCAGUGAGCAAACAAGGACUCUUGUUUCUUGGAGUUUACAUGCAGUAGAAGGAAACAGAAUCAAUGAAUUCAUCAGUUCUAGAAACUAUCAAAAUAGGACUAAGAGCUGUGGUGAGAAUUAAGAUAAGGUGAUUGCAUAGAAAGUGACUGAUGGCUGCUUUGGAAUGAGUGGUGAGGGGUCACAGAGAUGAUGACAGCUGAGUUGAGAUUGGGAAGACAGGAAGGAGCCAGCAGUGCAAGGACUAGGCUGGAAGCAAGCUUGGUGCAUUCCAGGAACAGCAAGGAGGCCAGAGGGGCUGCAGUAGAGCAGGCGAGGAGGAGGAGGGAGACGCAGGUCAAAGAGGAGCCUGGGGCCAGAUGGAGGACCCUCCCUCCAAAGCUCAGUCAUUUCCUCCUUAAAGGAGAAUGUGUUACCUCCAAAAGUCACAUAUGCCAGCACAGUGUCUGGCUCAUCAUAUGCCUUCAGUAGGCGGUGAGCAUGGCUGUUCUUGUUAUUACUACAUCACAAUUACUAGGAAUAAUGGAGUCACCAGGCUUUGCAUUUACAGCAAUGUGAGGGAGUCAGCAAGCUUCCCUGGGGAACCCAUCUCCCCUCACUAAGUUCAUAAGAGCCUGAUAACCAGGUCAAUGUAGUGAGAGCUAUAGCUGCCCAGUGUACUGGACUCUUUAGCCACGGGCCAGGACACUUUCAUCUCAGCAGAAACCUCUAAGGGGACUGGGGAGUGUGCUGUGGAUGUUUCUGGGUUACUCAGACCUCCUGGGGAGCCUUCCCCACCGCAGCUGCUGCAGGGAGCUCAGCUGCAGUGAUGAACUGCGGCUCAGCCUUGUUUAUGGGAAAACCCUACAUGGGAGAUGGGACGGUUUCCUGUUGGUUCUCUCGGCCUCAGGUUGCUUUCACAAGUGCAGGGAUUCUCACCUGGGUGUGUGAAUGGGGCUCAGGAUGCCCCAAGGGUAUGUGGAGAUGGGGGUCAGCUGUCUUCUCUGAUGCCUCUGAACCUCCUCCCCCUGCCUUUCUGCAUCUCAUUGCUUCCUGGCCUCUCUCACUUUGGGUGCUUUGGAACAACAUGCAAUCCAAUACACAGGCUGACUUUAUUAUUUUGUUUUGUUUUAUUUUAUUUUAUUUUGGAAACAAAGGCUCUGUCAUUCAGCCUGGAGUGCAGCGGUGCAAUUGCAACUCACUGCAGCCUUGAACUUCUGGGCUCAAGUGAUUCUCUCGCCUCAGCCUCUCAAAGUGCUGGGAUUACAGGCAUGAGCUGCUGUGCCUGGCCUAGGCUGGCUUUAAAAGCUCCUCACUCUCUCUGCAUCCUGAUGAUACCUACCUCCUGGAGCAGGCUCCCAGCCAUUGGCUUCGGAUACUUUGUAGCUAUUAUUGGCCAGUUGUGGCAUGUGAAGCUGAGGCUCAGGAGAAGGGCAGUCCUGUCCAAGGCCACACGGCUCAGUGCUAACACUCAGACUUCAGUGUUUUUAUCUCCCUCCUGGUCGCUUCCACCCUUAGUGCAUCUCUGGAGGCCCAAGGGAGCUAAAGGCCAGGCUUUGGUCAGCUAAGAAUUUAAAAAAGCUGUCUCUGUGCUCCUCUGUCAAUCCAUCACUCCAUUAUCUCCCCCGACA